rnacentral:rRNA from 1 species
AAAAUACUGGGCAGCUAGGGAGUGGGAGAGGUACACGGUACUCAAUAGGAAGGGGUAAANUCCUUUGAUCUAUUGAUGACCACCUGUGGCGAAGGCGGUGUACCAGAACACGUUCGACGGUGAGGGAUGAAAGCUGGGGGAGCAAACCGGAUUAGAUACCCGGGUAGUCCCAGCUGUAAACGAUGCAGACUCGGUGAUGCAUUGGCUUGUGGCCAAUGCAGUGCCGCAGGGAAGCCGUUAAGUCUGCCGCCUGGGAAGUACGUACGCAAGUAUGAAACUUAAAGGAAUUGGCGGGGGAGCACCACAAGAGGUGAAGCCUGCGGUUCAAUUGGAGUCAACGCCAGAAAUCUUACCUGGGGCGACAGCAGAAUGAAGGUCAAGCUGAAGACUUUACCAGACAAGCUGAGAGGUGGUGCAUGGCCGUCGCCAGCUCGUGCCGUGAGAUGUCCUGUUAAGUCAGGUAACGAGCGAGACCCCUGCGUCUAGUUGCUACCAUUACUCUCUGGAGUAGUGGAGCGAAUUAGACGGACCGCCACAGUUAAUGUGGAGGAAGGAAGGGGCCACGGCAGGUCAGUAUGCCCCGAAACCCUAGGGCUACACGCGGGCUGCAAUGGUAUUGACAAUGUGUUCCGAAUCCGAAAGGAGGAGGCAAUCAUCAAACGAUACCUCAGUUAUGACUGAGGGCUGUAACUCGCCCUCACGAAUAUGGAAUCCCUAGUAACUGCGCGUCACUACCGCGCGGUGAAUACGUCCCUGCUCCUUGCACACACCGCCCGUCGUUUCAUCGAAGUUGGCCUUUAGUGAGGUAGUGUCUUGUUGGCAUUAUCGAGCUUGAGGUCAGUGACGAGGGAAAAGUCGUAACAAGGUA